CUGUCUAUACUUCACCUUUGUUCUAGAGUUUUUCAUAAGUUUUCAAAAUAAAACUCAGAGUUCCUAGCAAUAAUCUCUCAAGUCUCUCUGUAUGUGGUAUUUGUGGAUCCUUACCAUAAUGUCACUUUCCUAUAGCUAAUGGAAUAUUUAAGUGGAGCUCAUAGGAGUGAAAAACAGCUUAUACAUAUGUUGUCUAAACGAGCCAUGGAUCCAAAGGAACUCAGCAUAUAAUUAAAUCAAGAUGUGCAUGUGUGGUGGAGUAAAUGAUAGUGAUGAUAAAAAUGUAUAAGUAAUAAUAAAACUUAGUUCUCAUUGCUCCUCAUAUUGCUAUUUCUCCUCCUCUUUGAUCUUUGCUUUGGGAGAACAUGGGCUAUCUUUUUCUCUUUUUUUUUCAGGUGGGUAGUAGAUACCCCUAAUUCUACUGUCGGACACUUGUCCAUUUUUUCCGCUCACGUGGGCAUCUUUGUACCCCUAAUUCUACUCCGGACACUUGUCCAUUUUCACCUCUUGUCUCACUCUUUUUCUUUCUUUUUCGAGGUUCGGGGCACUUGCCCCUUUUUAUUUCCUCGCAUAUUUUUGCAUAACCCAUGCCUCUUCUGUAUUGAAUCUUUUUAGAGAGAGAGAAUAACAAUAUCUGGGACAGUGAGUGAUAAUAUUUUUAGCAAUUUUAAUGAGUGGUGAUGGAUGGUGUAGUAGAUGUGUGCAAGUGAAUAUCUUAAUUUAACCACAUGAAAAGCUCCUAAGGGUCUACACACCUCGAUCAAACUCAAUGUAAGUGUAGUAAAAGAUGGUAUAGCAAAUAUGGCUGUGGUAGGUAGUUUGGUGUGCUAGGAACUCAUCAUGUGAUUUGUAAGUUUUCAAAAUAAAUCACCAGAACUUAGUGUAGUAGGAACAAGAUAAACAGCAGCUCAACUUUAUAUCAUGCCUUUCUCUUACCUAGACUUUAGUUUUAUGCUUCCCAAAGAUAGUAAAUUCAGUUUUAAUAAUUCUUGGAAGAACUCUAAUGUAAAAGCUAGGUACUUGAAAGUAAGCAACCAGAGCAAUUGUUCAUUAUUUCCAUCAUGUAUCUUUUUGGUCUUUUAUUUUUCUAGAGAUUAAACUUAGCAUGGAAAUAAAGCACACUCAUCUACACACUCUUUUUAUUUUGUUUUCAUGUUUAUAAAAUGCAGUAAAUUAAAGUAAGAAAAUAUUUAUUGGGUUUUCUAAGUUUUUCCUUUUAAGAUAAAAUACUAAAAUAGAAAAGAAUAAAUAAGAAGAGUAAAUAAAAACUUACUUGAUAAAUUUGGGAGGAACUCCCCCAAGCUGGAUGUUGACGUCGGUCUUACCCGAUGUUCCAGAACCGCAUCAUAGUUGUGAUGUUGUCAUUCAUUGUUGUUGUAUCUUGUCUCAGCUCUUCUACUGCAGCAGCAUGGUCCUGGUUCCAUUUUUGUUGUUCUUCUAGGAGUCUUCCAUGUUCUGCUUGCGUGUUCUGGAUGUCGAGGAGGGUGUUGUCGGUACGAGUGAAGAAAGCACCGGCCUCUUGAUAGUAGUCAUUUGUGAAAGCGUAGGAGGCGUCGGAGUAUCGUCCUGCAUCAAAUUGGGGCGGAGGUCUGGAUCCUGAAGCUCCAUAUGGAUCAGUGGAGUACCUGCCCGUAUGAAAAGGCGGGUUUGUCCACUGGUGAUCUUGGCUCUCCGGCCAUGUCUCCUCUGUUGGCUCUUAUGGUUGCGCAUGACGAACCCAUGGGUCUCGAAGGACUCGAGGGUUGUAAUCGCAAUAAUGCAGGUGCGCUGCUUCUUCUGGUCCGGGGUCAGCUCCAUACCAGGUGCGUUCUCGAUGGGUGGUCAUCCUUUCAGAUGCCACUCGCUGUGGAGCUCUCUGGUUCACUGGUGUUGCUGUAAUCUCAAUCAAAAAAUUUUGGACAACGUAUAGGCCAAGGUUCGCGUUAGGUAACCGAAUCUUGCCUCUAUCAUCAUAUAGCAUAUAUAUUAUAUUCCCCUCUUUCUUUAACAUCCGAGCUUGUCUAAAUGUGUCAUAGCCAUGGUAAAUUCUUAAUUCCUCUAUGAAAUCCAACGAUGAGUUUUCUAGUAAGUGAAGAUUAAAGGCUAGACGAGUGAUAAGUGAAGUACAUCCUACUGGUCCCUGCAGACUAGGUAUACUAAGCCAAUGAGAAACUAAAAGUGUAACAGGUGAAGUAGGUACUUUAUUAAUAGCAGCAUAUAAAAGUUGUAAAUCUCCUACUCUUACUUUCCUAAUAUCAUCACGAUAGAAAAGAUUGUACCCAAGCCAUUUGUGGAACAUCCUAAGAGUGGGGUGCUCCAUGUCACUGGUUCGGGCUUGACUAUAAAAAUUAUCUCUAGAUAUUUCUCUCCAAAACUAGUGUCUCUCAAAGUUGGGUAAAUCGGAGUCAAUGUUCAGGAUGCAUCUUGAAGAGAAACCAAGAUGGUCACUCAGCUCUCUCCAAGACAACAUAAUCUCCUGUUUGAACAUCCGAAAAACAAUUCCCCCUCAUAAUAUUGUAAGGUGCAAAGAAAUUCGAGGGUGAGAAGACGAGAACCCAGCUCAGUUAUAUUCCAAAAAUUUGUCCAACCUAUCAUCUGGAAAAUUAAGUCAAAUUCAGUGUCCAUACCUGUUUCUUGUAGUAGGAUUGGAUCGAGAGUAGGGGUAUGAAUGAAUUCUUUAUUCUUCAAUUGCUGAUAGACUUCCUUCUCUCUUCGGGUCUUCAGUCCAAGGUCUCCUAUCUUGAGAAGGACCUUAACUUGCUGACCUGAUGAAGAUGAUGGAGCUUGUGUGGGUGUCGGGUCGACGCUCAUCUCUGAUGGCUGUGAGGAGUGUCGGGCUGAACUCCUUGUACCAAUGUUCUUGAGAGCCUUCCCUGCAUUUUUCACCUUUUUAAACAUCCUGCAAACAAAAGAUGGCAAAAACACAACUAGUGGAAAAUGUGAGAGAAAAUGUUAGUGGUCAGCUGUCCGGAAUGUCAGUAGUCCAGGGGUUAAUCGUUCAAGACAAGUUUCUAUUUUGGUAGAACCUCCCCCUAAACAACUUUUACAUCCGCUUAGACAGCGGGAUCACUUCUUGCUAGGUGAUACUCACUCUCUAUCAACUUCUUUCCCACUCUUCUCUUUCUCUCUACUCUCUUCUCUCUUCACUACAAGAGCUCUUUCUGGAAACUGAUACUUGUGUGGUUUUCUGGAGUGCUUGUGUGGAGAGGAUGGAGGUAGAAGGUGGCUAUUUAUAGGAGGAAAAGGGAGCAGGGCGGGCGCCCUUGGUAGGUGGGCGGCGCCCACUUGUGAUGCCCAUCGUGGGUGUGCCUCCUCCACUUGCUUCCAUGCUUUGAUCUUACGCAGAAUAAUGUUGUGUUGGUGGUGGUUGGACGGUGGAAAGAUGUCUGGUGAGUGGAAACAUAUUGGUGGAUGAAAUUAUGUUGAUGGGAUGUAUGUGAGGUGAAGUAUAUGACAUGUGGGACCCAAAGAGUGUGGGUCAUGCUUCUAGAAGAUUAAUAUAGUUCAUUAUAAUGCAGGACAAUCUAUGAAAAUUGAAAAUUAAUUAAAUAUGAUGUAUCGGAGAAUAUUUUUUGUGCCUCCAUAAUAAUUAAUAAAUAUGGGUUGUUACACACCACGAAUAUUAUUCAUAUGUGGCUUUUUGAUUAUUAUACUAAUGCUAUGAAUAUAUAUGACUAAUGCAAGAAUUAAUUAUGCAAGAAUUUAAACAUGAGAAAAUUAAUAAUGCGGAUAAAUACUGAUUUACCUCCCGGUGAGGGUUUGGGAUUUUUAGGUCCCCCAAGCUGGACCUCCAAAUCUUUUAAUCUUCUGAAUUACCUUCCUCCGGAGAUGGUGUCUCCAGUGGUUCUUCAUGAACUUCCUUCACUGUAGAGUCUCUCUCUAGUCUGGGUUUGAAUGUGAAGUGUUCUUCUUGUCCAUUUAUGUUGAACUUGAUUUCUCCUUUCCCGACAUCAAUGUGGGCAUUGGCAGUGCUCAGAAAUGGCCUUCCAAGGAUGAUGGACACUUUUGAGUCAUGACUCAUGUCCAGUACUACGAAGUCUACUGGCACCAGGAAAUCUCUGAUCUUGACUGGAAUGUUCUCGGCGAUGCCCAACGGUUGUCGAACCGAUUGAUCCGCUAGUUGUUGGCACAUUGAUGUUGGUUCUAAGGUUGCAUGCUCAAGCUUUUUGUAGACUGAUGCUGGCAUCACACUGACACUUGCUCCGAGAUCACAAAGUGCAUUGUUGAAGUGUUGGUUUCCGAUCGAGCAGUCAAUAGUGGGACAUCCUGGAUCUUCCUUCUUCUUUGGUGGCUUAUUGAGGAUGGCCGCACUACAUUCUUCCGUCAGCUUGAUAACCUCAGUGGUGGGCAGUGGUCUCUUCUUGUUAAGAAUAUCACUGAUGUACUUUGCAUAUGUAGGUACCUGUAUGGCAUCGAGUAGAGGUAUGUUGACAUAUAAUUUCUGAAUGACCUCUACAAACUUACCAAACUACUCAUCUGACUGCAGUCCUGUGUUUCUUCUGGGAAAUGGCAAAUAGUUGGUGUCGUAAAAAUCUUUCCUCAUUUCUCUAGUUCUUGGUGGUUGUAGCAGAUCUUCUGCUUCAACUGGGCUUUCUUCUUCUAUCGCUGCUGGUUGCACUGGUGCUGAGGUUCUUUGUUUCUCUUUUGGGUAUGGAGGAUCUCUGGUAGCUUUACCUCCUCUAGUAGUUAUAUUCUUUACCUGCUUAAGGUUAGUAGCAACAGGCAGUGCAGCAGCUAUCUUUAUUAAUUUAAGCUCUACCCUUUUAUUAAGAGUGUUUUGCUCAUCAAAGGCAGUUAGUAGAAAAUCCAUUUUAUUGUGUAUAUCUUUUAGAGAUGAUUCAUUUGUAUCUAGCCUUUGUUUAACUUCAUCAUUAAUUUUGGUUUGUUGAGCAAAUAUCUCUUUUAAUGAAAGUUGCUUGAAAGUAUUACCUGAAUUCAUACCUUUGCUAGUGGGUUGACUCGAAGUUGGUUGAUAUUUAUAUGCUGUCUCAAUGGCCCUUUGAUCUUCUUUGAACUUGGCCCUCUGGUCAAUCCAAUGGAGCAAAUUUUCCAUCUUAGUUGAUAAUGCAUUUACUUCUUCUGGUAUUUCUUCAGUUUGAUGACAUUGUUGAGCUUUAUCUUGGAACCAGCUUUGAUUUUCUGCUAUCUUAUCCAAAAGUAUCUCUGCUUUUCCAGUUGUAAGCUCCAAGAAUGAUCCUUUAGCAGAUGCAUCUAGGCACUCACGAGCCUUCUGGGUUAAUCCAUGGUAGAAGGUCUGCAUAAGCAACCAUGUGGCCAUUCCAUGGUGAGGACAAUCUGAUAUGUAUCCUUGAAAACGCUCCCAUGCUUCUGAAAUGGCUUCUGUCUUCUGCUGUUGGAAACUGACAAUAUUUCCUCUUAAGGCAGUUGUUUUGCCUAUAGGGAAAAACUUUGAUAGAAAGGCAUGUGACAAGUUCGUCCAGUUGUUGAUGUUAUCUUGAUGAGUGUAGAACCACUUCCUCGCUUUCCCUUCUAGUGAGAAUGGAAAAAGGCGAAGUAGUAUGACGUCUUUGUCAACUCCGUUGAUGUGGAUUGUGCUCCCAAUCUCUAAGAAAUUCUGCAAGUGUGCACUGGCAUCUUCAUGUGCCUUUCCACUCAAUUGUGUAGCUUGCACCAAAUUGAUGAGGCUUGACAUGAGCUCAAACUCAGGUAUUCCUUCUUCUACUGCCAAUCUUGGACCAGUUGAAAUGUUCUCAAGGCUUGGAGCAGAGAAUUCUUGCAAGGUCUUUUGUGCCAUAGCUUUAGCAAUUGGUAGCUAGCUUCUUCUUCUCUUGAUUGCUUUGGUUCUGAUGAUGAAGAGUUGAAUGUACCCAAAGUCAAUCCUGAUAUACCAUGUAUAAAAAUGUAAACAUAGAAAAACAACAGGGUGAACCUGCCAAAGCAGAGGUGCCUUGUUAUGAUUUCUCACUUAGUAGCUGUUUUAUGCAAUUAUUUCUCUAUAGUCUAGUCUAAUAUUUUAUAUGAAUAACCUUGAUUGAUUUUCUGGCUUUCCUUGCCGUUCCUAAGUAUUACCCUUUUGUUCCCUUCUAUGACUUAUUCAUGAGACUCGUAUAAUUCCCCAGCAACGGCGCCAGAAAUGCUUGUUGACACUAGCUAACACCACUUAGAUACUAGGUUGUCAUCCCCAGCAUGGUGCUAGAGUGUACAGAGAUAUUUAUAAAUGUAAAGCCUCUCUAGAAAAUAAUCUAUUCUAUCCGCAAGCGCACAGAUAAAACACCUCAUUGUAGCAUUUCACCAGGAUAAGUAUUCCAGGUAUCGUUAUUUAUAAUUUUGCUCAAGGGAUGAAAUUAAAAUAAGGGGGCAAAAUCUAUCAAGGCAUAGACUAGAGAUAAACUUGCAAGAACAUGAUUACUAAUGAGAAACUCGUCACACAGUCACUUACUUUAGCAGGGGGUCUACUUUAGCAGGGGGUAAACCAUAAAGAUAAUGAUAAUGAAUUAUAAGUUUAUGGGUAGAUAACACAGCGAUUAGAAAAUAGACUACUCCUCAUAUAUGUAGAUGAUGUCGCAUUAGCUAGAGAAUGGAUUCUAAGUUAUCUACUAACUACUAAGUCAUAAUCUACUUUAGUUAUCUACAAGAUCAUAUAUAGCAUAAAAGACUCUUUAUUCAUGUAUAAGGAACAUUGAUAAAGUAAAUCAGAGCAUCGCAUGACUUACUCCACAAUACCGGUUCUGCGUGUCCUAUCAACGGAGGGUGGACUAUAUAAGAAUCAACGAAGCUGUCACUAUCACGAACUACCACACGACCCGGCCAAUAGGAUACAUUUGCAGAUAAAUAACAUCUAAGCACCAUGCUUACAUGUGAUCUAUCACCUAACUCCCUCGCGUCAAGAGCUAAGCGCUUUGCAAACUUAUACAUAAACUCAUUAUCAAUUAGAACUAUAUCAAAUAUAGAACUAGAAUAAACUAAAAACAUAAUAAUUAGAGACAUAAUGCAAUUAGAACAAAGAAUUAGAGAAAGAUAUGAAUAAUACCAAUCUUUAUUACCGAAGAUCCGAAUCCAGAGCGUAGUGCUCUACUUCUCUAAUUGCUAUCUAAUCAAACCUCUAAACUUGAAGGAUUACGGAGUAGCUAAUUCUAAUUCUCUGUGGGAGAGAAGCUCUAAACCCUAACUUUGAUGGCUACCUCUGAAUAAUGAUUUCUUCUCUUCUCCUCUCUCCUCCAGGGGCCAGGGGGUCUGGUUUUAUAGUCCCCUCAAGUGAACGUGGGCCAUUGGAUCAAACCGACAUAGAUUGUAUGGUUGAGAUUGAUCCUUUAGGUCGGUGGAGCGUAGUCCCGAAGCAGAGUCUCGAUUGGGUUCCAACCCUGGGCGGGCGUCCAAGGGGGGUGGGCGGCCGCCCUGCCCCCGAGCCCGAUCGUGCUCUCGUUCGUUCCCGUGGCUUCUGGACUCUUCUAGAUUGAGAAAAAUUGUGCGGCACGUAAUUAUCUCGUUGUAAACAUGACAUGUGGGCCUUCUCUCCAUAUUCUCUGAUAACCCCCUGCAGAAAUAGAUAAACACCAAAGCUCGUGGAAUUCUGUCAGAUAAAACCCUAAUUCUAAAUGAUUGUUUCAUAUUGAUCCUUUUCCAUGUUUAUUUGAUUAUUAAUUUUAGUACUUAAGGACCGUCAAGAGGGACUAUAAAACCAGACCCCCUGGCCCCUGGAGGAGAGAGCCUCUCAACCCUAAUUCAUUAUUCUCAAGGAAGAAGAAGCCUCUGAUCAAGCCUAGAGCCACCACAUCAAUUAGACAUCUAGAUUAGCAUAGCUACAUAGGAUUAGAACUAGAAGGAGUCAAUCUUCGAUUGGUUUCCGGAUCUGUCAAGAGGAUUCUUGGUAAUUCUCUAAUUGUGCUUCUAAUUGUUCUUCUAAUCAUCUUUGUUCUUCAAUAUUAUGAAUAUGACUUUGUUCUACUUCAAUAUAUUGCUUAUGACUUUGCUCUACUUGCUUAUAUUCAAGAUUAUAUUGUUCUUAGUUUAUCAUAGUUAUGUACUUGGCUUAGUUAGAUUGGAUCUAUAUACAUGUUUAGGAUCGUAUAGCGUUUAUCCAUUGGAUCCAUGGGUAAAUGAUAGAUAUUGUGUAGGUGUGGUGCUUAUACCGUAUUUAUCUGCGAUUGUACCCAAUACGCCAGAUCGUGGGGUAGUUCGUGAUAGUGACAACUUCAUUGAUUCUUAUAUAGUCCCCCUCUCGUGUAUUGGGCUGGCAGAGCAACAUUAUUACAGGGGAGUGAUUGCCAUGUUUCUCAUUUACCUUGCUAAUAUCACUAUGCAUGGGCGUAGUCUUGUCUCCCAAUGAUUGCUAAGUAUGCUUGCACUAACUAUGAUAAUGCUAGACUAUAUAGUUGAGAAUAACUUAGGAAAUAUUCUUGUAGUUCGUUCUAAUUCCAUGCUAAUGAAUUUCUAGAAUAUCUAAUUGAGGUGCUUAUCAUAUUUAUUAUGUGGCUAAGUUAUGCUGAUCAGAUUAAUUAUCUUUAUCACUAUUCAUUACUUCAUAUAUCUUUUAUGUGACAUUUAUCCAUGUAUGAAAGAGUUAGAUAAAUGUUCUCAAUUAUACAUGCAAUGAUAGAUACUCAAUCUCAUAUUCUAUUCUGUAAUCAAUAUUGAUGAUUGCUAAUCUCUUCCUAGUGGUAAAAAUAUAAAUAACGAUACCUGGAAUACUUCCCGGUUAAAAUGCUACAUCGGUAUUAAUCUGUGCGCUUGCAGAUCCUAUUCAUUAUUUAUUUAGAAGAGCAAUUGCAUAUUUCAAUACCGAGUCUCUCAUGUCAUGCUGGGGAUGACAACUUGGCUUAAGUGGUAUGAGGGGUAGGUUUGACAUUUUUGGCACCGUUACUAGAAUUAGAAAACUAAGUCUACUUUUGGUAAUGAUGUUAAGAAUAUCCAACAAGCAUUUUUGGCGCAGUUGCCGGGGAAGGUUGAUUACUAAUCAGGAAUGGAUAUAGAAUUUUGAGUUAUCAUUCGCAUCACUAAUAUGAUUGAGCUUAUCUAUUCUCUCAUACAGUUUUACCCCAACAUUUUUCUAUUUUUAUCUUAUGCAGGGGAAUGUAUGAAUAGAAGACAUCUUCCAGGAAAUUUUGUUGACAAUCCCAAAGCGUUAUUCAGAAAAAUGAGAGCCAAGCUCAAGAAGAGAUCAUCAACACUUCAGCAACAAGCUUCAUCCAAUCAAGAAGAUCACCGGAACUUGUCUUCAGAGUUCGAAGCCAUAGCGAACAAAUCAAUUCGUGAGUUCUCAGCUCCCACUACAGACAACAUCCGCACUGGACCUACUACAGAGAUCAAUGGCAACUUUGAGCUCAAGCCUGGACUUAUCAACAUGGUGAAAUCCAACCAGUUCUGUGGGAAGGCACACGAAGAUGCUAGUGCUCAUCUCCAACACUUUCUGGAGAUUUGCAGCACAUUCACAAAAUCAGGAGUCCCCAGAGAUGCUAUACUACUUCGCCUCUUCCCAUUCUCACUGUUAGGAAGAGCGAAACAGUGGUUCUACGCUACAAAGGAGAAGAAUACUACGUGGGCACUCUGCUCCACGAAUUUUCUGGCUAAGUUCUUUCCCAUGGGCAAGACCAAUGCUCUCCGUGGGAAGAUUACAAGUUUUCAGCAACAACAUGAUGAAUCCGUUCCAGAAGCAUGGGAGCGCUUCCAAGACUAGAUCCUAGAAUGUCCCCAUCAUGGAAUGGAGAGUUGGCUACUGAUGCAGACGUUUUAUCAUGGGCUCGGCAACAGUGCCCGAGAAACCAUGGAUGCUGCAGCUGGAGGAGCAUUCCUAUCACUCACCAUACCACAAGCCACAGCUCUUAUGGAAAAGAUGGCGUCCAACCAAGGCUGGAAUGAAGAGAGGACCCAGACACGCAAGAGAGGUGGAGGUAUGCAUCAGCUCAAGGAGGUAGACAUGCUGUCUGCAAAGCUAGACCUGCUCAUGAAGAAGCUCGAUGAUAGAGCUGGAGAUAAGAAAGAAGUUAUGCACAUCUAUGACCCUCACAUGACUUGUGAGGAAUGUGGAGAUACUGGACACUCAGGCAGUUACUGCCCUGAGAUGCUUGAGGAUGUGAACUACAUCAACAACAACAACAACUAUUACAACCGUCCUCAACAAAAUUAAGGUUGGAAUCAACAGAGGCCUAACUACUCAGGUAAUUAUCAAGGUAAUAAUUCUUACAACAAUAAUAAUAAUUUUUCACCUCUGAGAGAGUUAGUGUCUAAUCAAGGAAAGCUAAUGGAUAACCUAUCUAAGAAAUUGGCAUCUAAUGAUAAAAUGCUAGAAAAUAUAAAUAAUAGAAUGGAUAAUUUCUCUACUGCCACCAAGAAUCAAAUUAGCUUUAAUAAAAUGAUUGGAUCCCAGUUAAAUCAAAUAGCUACUGCUGUUCCUACUACAAACCCUGGUAUACCAACACAACCGGAAGGAUUAGAAUCUGCAAAUCUUGUAGACAUGUUUGAUGCAGGUAAUUGGAGUAACCCCAUCACUGAAGUUACUACUGACCUUCUGCCGGUCAAGAGAGGUGAUCCAGGACGCCCCGUCAUCCCGAUCGCCAUCGGCAUGGUGGACGUCCUAGAAGCACUCUGCGACUUUGGCUCUAGCAUCAACAUUAUGCCCAGGGUACUCUAUGAAAAAUUCUUUACAUAUCCUUUAUUAGAAACAACCAUGUGUUUAUAGUUUGCAGAUCAGGCGUUAACUUUCCCAAAAUGAAUAUUGAAGAACCUUUGUGUCCGAGUUGGUACCUUAUAUGCCCUAGCAGACUUCGUGGUGAUAGAGACCGGUAAUGAUGAGAGAGCACCCAUUAUCUUAGGGAGGCCAUUCUUAAACACCGCGGGAGCUGUCAUCUACGCCAGUUCUGCCAAGAUCAGUUUCUACAUCAAAGGGAGGAAGGAGACGUUUUUCUUCAAGAACAAGACUACACAAAUCCCAGAUCAAUCUAGACGUGAAUCAAGGAAGAGGACCAAUAGGAGGAACAGGAACAAGCAAGUGUGGACCGAGUCAGCUAAGAUGGUCACUGCAGUUCAUGGAGGUCAAGAUCAUCAACUUAAGUAACCGUGUCUGACCAAGAAGGAUGACCCAGGAAUGCCAAGCAUCUAUUGCUCCAUAAAUGGAUACAACUUCUAUAAGACGACUUGCGACACCGGAUCGGGCGUCAACAUAAUGGCCGCAGUCACCUAUCGGCUCUUGUUCGGAACCAUGCCCUUAAAGCCAACAUACAUUCAGCUCCAGAUGGCAGAUCAGACAUUUCAAGAAGUUAAAGGAACAGUAACUGAUGUCCCAGUCAAAAUAGAUGAUCAUUUUGUCUACACAGACUUUCAAGUUAUUGACAUGGGAGAAGACGAGUACGAUCCACCCAUCAUCCUUGGAAGACCGUUCCUCAGCACUGUUAAAGCAAUCAUCUACAUUGGAACUGGAGAAGUCCAUAUGCACUUCCCCUCAGAGAAGGUAUGCCGCUAUUUCACUGACCCUAACUAUAUCGUUGAAGAAUCUAAGCAGGUCAGAAAGCGACGCAUCCGAAACCAGAGGAGGCAAAUCAUCAAGGACGGAUGGGCAGACUACGAAGGAGAAGUAGUAAGGUCAGAAGACAUACAGUUUAAACAGAACUAUCCUGAGGAGACUGUAGCACCGAGUCAGGUGUGGAGAGAGAAGAUAACCAUACACGAAGAGGAGGCACCGCCGGAAGUACCGACUCCACCACCCAACGAAUCCCAGGACAACUAGAAAACGGAGAGUCCCGUUCAGAGGACUUAAAAACACCGAACGCCUUGCCAAGAGGUAACCUUGGUAGUUAUCCUCCUUUCAAUUAUUCAAAUAGUUUACUUAAUUAGUUAUAUUUAUACUAUCCUAAAGAAAAUAAAAAUGUUAAAACAGUAAGCCCCAUGCGAGUAUACGAGUGGCAUGAAACCCACAAGUACAUUCAUUGUGGUGGUAUAAAAAUAAAAUAAAUAUUUCUUUUCUGCUUUAUAAAAUGAAAAUAUAAAAAUAGAGAGUAACAUUUAUUGAGGAGUUUCAACAUGAUACAGGCUAGAUAUUUAUGCUAACACCUAAUCAGUUCCACAAAGCUUUGUUGUCUAUUUGAGCUCCACAGAAAUCAAGAAUCAAGAAGACUAGCAGACGGAGGACAUUCUAAUCGCUGUCAGAAUGCUGCUGACUUUCAAAUACACCUCUGCCACCUGCUAGCUACAUCAAGAGAAAUUACGUCAAAAUUCAGCUUGGGGGAGAGCACCCCCAUUUAUCCCGAUAAGUAUAUCUAUCUAUCUUUAUACUUAUACUAUAUUAAAUAUACAUAACUAUGGAAAACCAAAUAAAGAUUUUAUGCUUAUAUAUAUAUAUAUCUUUUUCUUAGUGUGUUUAAUAAAUAAAUAAAGUGGCUAUGCUAAUCUGAAUAUUAAUAAUAAAACUCUAGCAUGGAUAUGAUGAAUAGUUGCUCUGCCUAAUUUUAAAAUUUACAGUUCUCUCUCAAGUUUAGACAUAAUUGUUAUAAUUUAAAGCUUGCUCUAAACCUAAACUUGUGGGAAGAAAAUUUGAUCUAAAGUCUAAGUUGUUAACGGAUAUGAUAUGGGAAGGUUGAGCUGUUGUUUAUUUGUUCCUAGAGAUGCUAGAAUUCUGGAGAAUUUUCUCUUUUAAAAUCUUUAAAAUAUCACAUGAUGAGUUCCUGUAUGAUGAGAGUUUAAAUUCCUACCACACCCAUAUAUACAUGUUUGCUAGACUUUGAGCCACACAUUUACUUUUUAUUGCUUAUGAGCAUUAAGUGUGGUCAAGCUGUGUAGACCCUUAGGAGCUUGUCAUGUGGUUAAAUCAAGAUUCACUUGCACGUUCACUCAUACAUGCUCCGGAAGUACCAUCCACAUAUAUCCACUCAUUUCCAUCUCCAGAAUCACCCAAAAAUAUUCUACUCCUAACCGGGAGAGAAUAGCCAAAAAUAUUUCUAUUUUUCCCCUGUGAAAUAAAUUCUCAAGUUAUCUUGUUACUACCACUUGCUAUAUUAUCUCAAGAGAUGAGUGCUCUAAUAAAAAAAGAAGAGAGAAAAAAAGUAUACGAGGAAAUAAAAAGGGGCAAGUGCCCGGAACCUCGAAAGAAAAGAAAAAGUGAGACGAGAGGUAAAAAUGGACAAGUGUCCGACAGUAGAAUUAGGGCUACAAGAUACCCACCUGAGAGGAAAGAAAAUGAAAAAAAAGAAGAGCAUCUCAUUCUCCUCACAAAAUUUCAAAAAGCACGGUAGGUAUGUAUCCCCUCAAAGAGCAAAAGUAGAAUUAGGCUUUCACCAUUGUUAUCACCACCAUCAUACACCAUUCAUUCGCCACACAUGCACAUCUUGAUUUGACUUAUUGAUUUGUUUCUUUGGAUCCAUGGUUUGACUAUGCAAUAAAUGUCUUGUAAGUAUGUGUAUUUUAUCUCCCACCUAUGAGCUCCAGAUAUCAAGCCUUAUUAGAGUAGGGUGAGAGAGAAGGUCAUGUCACUAUGCCUUAUACCACAAAUACUACAUAUUUUGAGAGAAGGCAUAUACCAUCACUGCCUUGGUAAGGAUCCAGAAAUACCACAAAAUAGAGAUUUGAGAGAGUCAUACAAGGAAUCUCUGAGUUUUAUUUGAAAAUCUGCAAAAACUCCAGAGCUAUAGCUGAUCAAGAAUAAGAGACAUGACACUUGAUUAGACUGUUCUAUCUUUUAACUACUCAAGACAGAAGUGACGGUUACAAGUCCCAUGGUGAAAGCUAAAAUGAAUAAGUUUUAAGUCUUGACAGUUUACUCUAACUCAGAGAUGAGACUUCAUUUAAAAGCAUGUGUACCGUCAACAUUUAAAGGUAUUGCAACAACUUCUAAUCCAUCUUUGAGUCUAUCCUUGCUCAGGGACGAGCAAGAGGUAAGCUUGGGGGAGUGUGUUGACGGUCCUUAAGUAUUAAAUUUAAUUAUCAAAUAAACAAAGAAAAGGAUCCAAAUGAAAUCAACAUCUAGACUUAGGGUUUUAUCUGACAGAAUUCCAUGACAGAAUUCCAUGAGUCUAUUUCUAUAGGGGGUUAUCAGGAAAUACGGAAGAAAGGCCCACACGUCGGGAUUACAUAGAGAUAUUAACGUGCCGCGCAAUUAUCUUACAUCUAGAAGACUCCAGAAGCCACGGGAAGGAAGCGGAGGCCGAACGGGGCCAGGCACUGGGCGCCCGCCCAGUUGCCCUGGGCGCCCGCCCCCAGUUGGACUCCAAUCAGGACACUCUUUCGGGAAAAGAUCUCCACCGACCUAAAGGAUCAAGGAUAACCGUUCAAUCAAUGUCGGUUUGAUCCAACGGCCCAUAUUCACUUGAAGGGACUAUAAAACCAGACCCCCUGGCCCCUGGAGGAGAGAGCCUCUCAACCCUAAUUCAUUAUUCUCAAGGGAGAAGAAGACUCUAAUCAAGCCUAGAGCCACCACAUCAAUUAGAUAUCUAGAUUAGCAUAGCUACAUAGGAUUAGAACUAGAAGGAGUCAAUCUUCGAUUGGUUUUCGGAUCUGUCAAGAGGAUUCUUGGUAAUUCUCUAAUUGUGCUUCUAAUUGUUCUUCUAAUCAUCUUUGUUCUUCAAUAUUAUGAAUAUGACUUUGUUCUACUUCAAUAUAUUGCUUAUGACUUUGCUCUACUUGCUUAUAUUCAAGAUUAUAUUGUUCUUAGUUUAUCAUGGUUAUGUACUUGGCUUAGUUAGAUUGGAUCUAUAUACAUGUUUAGGAUCGUAUAGCAUUUAUCCAUCGGAUCCAUGGGUAAAUGAUAGAUAUUGUGUAGGCGUGGUGCUUAUACCGUAUUUAUCUACGAUUGUACCCAAUAUGCCAGAUCGUGGGGUAGUUCGUGAUAGUGACAGCUUCAUUGAUUCUUAUAUAGUCUCCCUUUCGUGUAUUGGGCUGGCAGAGCAACAUUAUUAUAGGGGAGUGAUUGCUAUGUUUCUCAUUUACCUUGCUAAUAUCACUAUGCAUGGGCCUAGUCUUGUCUCACAAUGAUUGCUAAGUAUGCUUGCACUAACUAUGAUAAAGCUAGACUAUAUAGUUGAGAAUAACUUAGGAAAUAUUCUUGUAGUUCCUUCUAAUUCCAUGCUAAUGACUUUCUAGAAUAUCUAAUUGAGGUGCUUAUCAUAUUUAUUAUGUGGCUAAGUUAUGCUGAUCAGAUUAAUUAUCUUUGUCACUAUUCAUUACUUCAUAUAACUUUUAUGUGACAUUUAUCCCUGUAUGAAAGAGUUAGAUAAAUGUUCUCAAUUAUACAUGCAAUGAUAGAUACUCAAUCUCAUAUUCUAUUCUAUAAUCAAUAUUGAUGAUUGCUAAUCCCUUCCUAGUGGUAAAAAUAUAAAUAACGAUACCUGGAAUACUUCCCGGUUAAAAUGCUACAUCGGUAUUAAUAUGUGCGCUUGCAGAUCCCAUUCAUUAUUUAUUUAGAAGAGCAAUUGCAUAUUUCAAUACCGCGUCUCUCAUGUCAUGCUGGGGAUGACAACUUGGCUUAAGUGGUAUGAGGGAUAGGUUUGGCAUUUUUGGCACCGUUACUAGAAUUAGAAAACUAAGUCUACUUUUGGUAAUGAUGUUAAGAAUACCCAACACACUUGAUUGCUUGUACUUGGUUGAUCAUGAGAUGAUGUACUAGCUUGUUGAUCUUGCACUUGAGCACUACUUGUACUAGCUUGAUUUUGAUCAUGAGAACCACUAGUUUGCACAAUUGAGGUAGAGAGCACUUGAUAUUUGUCAUCUUCCACAUCAAUCACCUCUCUAGGCCUUCAGUCACCAAUGUACUUCAUUGAAAUGGCCAAUUGAGUGCCUCUAACAUCAUCUAGAUUUUCAUCUUCCUCUUGAGAGCCAUUGAUUUCAUCAAACUCAACAUUAUGCACCUCUUCAAUAGUACCACUAGCCAAAUUCUAAACUCUAUAAGCUUUGCUAGUAGUGGAGUAACCAAUCAAGAAAUCUUCAUCAUAUUUCUUUUCAAACAUGCUCAAUCUAGUGCCUUUUUUCAAUAUAUAGCAUUGGUAACCAAAAACCCAAAAAUAUGCAAUGUUGGACUUUCUUCCAUUCAAGAGCUCAUAUAGUGUCUUCUCCAUCAUUAGGUGACAAUAGAGUCGGUUGCUAUAGUAACAAGCCAUGUUGAUCGCUUCCGCACAAAAGGAAUGUCUCACAUUGUACUCACUCAACAUUGAUCUUGUUAUGUUAAUCAAGGUUCUAUCUUCCUCUAAACAAGGCCAUUUGAUUGUGGAGUGUACUUGGCCGAGAAUUGAUGCCUAAUUCCAAAUUCAUCACAAAGCUCAUGAACUCUUGUAUUCUUGAAUUCACUUCCAUUGUCACUUCUCACUUUCUUGAUGGUUGUUUCAAAUUCAUUGUGUAUUCUCCUGACAAAUGAUUUGAAGGUUGCAAAAUCACUCUUGUCACUAAGAAAGAAUACCCAUGUCUAUCUUGUGAAAUCAUCCACUAUCACAAAUCCAUAUUUGUUGCCACCAAGCUUGUGUAUGUCGUUGGUCCAAACAAGUCCAUGUACAAUAACUCAAAUGCCUUGCAAGUGCUCAUGAUGCUCGUCUUUGGAUGUGUGUUACCAACUUGCUUUCUAGAUUGACAUGUGAAAGGUCCUAAUAUGGCUAGAGGGGGAGUAAAUAGCCUAUUUAAAAAUUCUACAAACUCACUAGAGCAAGAGGUUAGUAAAUAACAAAGCAAAGCUUUUUGCUCUAGCUCUAAAAGGGGUGUUUGCAAGCCACCUAUCCAACAAUUCUAGUUGAUAUGAUCACUAGGCACACAAGAGCUAUGUCACUACAAGCUACACUAGUGAACUAGGCUACACAAAGCAAGACUAGCAACUAAACUAGUUACACUACUUUGCGGGAAGUAAAUGGAGAGGAAGAGAUAUUUAUACCGCCGUGUAGGGGAUGAACCAAUCAUAAUAAUAUGAAGUCCAAUCACCGGGAGAAAUCCAAAGAACAAUCACAAUGGAGACACACGAGUUUCUCCUGAGGUUCACGUGCUUGUCAGCACGCUAUGUCCCCGUUGUGUCGACCAACACUUGGUGGUUCAGUGGCUAAGAGGUGUAGCAUGAACCUCGUCCUCACUAGGACACCACAAGAACCUACCCACAAGUGCGGUAGCUCAAUGACAUGAGCAAUCCACUAAUGUUGCCUUUGGCUCUCCGCCAGGGUUGGCACAAACCCCUCACAAUCAUCGGGAGAUGGCCACGAACAAUCACCAACUCGUGCCAAAGCUCCUCCGCUGCUCCAAGCCAUCUAGGUGGUGGCAACCACCAAGAGUAACAAGGAAACCGCAGCCAAAUCGAUCCCCAAGUGCCACUAGAUGCAAUCACUCAAGCAAAUGCACUUAGAAUCACUCCCAAUCUCACAAAGAUGAAUAAUCUAUGAAGGUGAUGUUUUCUUAGGCUCACAAGAAUGUCAAGUAUGCUAGAAUGCCAAGAGAGUGAGCCCCAAGCCAGCCAACAACUAUUUAUAAGCCUCUCAAACAAAUAGAGUCGUUGGCUCUUUCACUGGGCUAAAAUAGGUGUCAUUGGACGCGCUGCAGGGAACCACCGGCGGACGCUCAAGCCCUGCGUCCGGUGCCCUAAAAACUACCACGUGUCACCCUUUCCACUUUCGCGCAUCGAUCUCUAACGGUCACCUGUAGAGCACUGCACGCGUCCUGUGCACACCGGUCUUGUGCGCAGAGAGGUCUGCAAAAAGCGCAAGCACCGGACUCGCACCACCGGACGUGCUACGCGGUACUGAGUGUCCGGUCCCUUACCCAGAGAGGUUUGCAAAACGCGUAGACACCAGACGCGCACCACUGGACGCACCCUGAGCGUCUGGUGCUCUUAGUCAAAGACUCCCGCAGAAGUCACGCAGCACUGGACGCGCCGAUAGGGUUUGAUCUGCGUCCGGUGCUCAGCUUCUGGUGCCUAACCCUAACAUCCUUGAAGCAGACAGCACACCGGACGCGCAGGCACUGUGUCCGGUGCCUCCGGGCCAGCGUCCGGUCUCCCGCGACUUCUCCAAAUUCCCCACCGACACAACAGAAAAUAUGCAUUUCAUUUUCUCAAAAGCGCCAAAUCCCGCCGAGCUUCUUCUCAAAGUGUGCUAACACCACCAAGUGUGUACUAACAAGUGCACUGUUGACGGUUCUUAAGUAUCAAUUUUAAUUAUCAAAUAAACAAGAGAAAGGACCAAUAUGCAACCAACACCUAGAAUUAGGGUUUGAUCUAACAGAAUUCCACGAGUUUUGUUGUUUAUCUGUUUCUGCAGGGGGUUAUCAGGAAAUAAGGAAGAAAGGCCCACAUGUCGGGAUUACAUAGAGAUAUCAACGCACCGCGCAAUUUUCUACCAUCUAGAAGACUCCAGAAGCCACGGGAAGAAAACAGAGGCCGAAAGGAGCCAGGCCCAGGGCGCCCGCCCUGGUGACCUGGGCGCCCGCCCCCUGCUGGAUUGCAUUCAGGACUCUCUUCGCACGGGAUGUUCCACCGACCUAUUGGAUCAAGGAAAACAUAGUACCACCUCGCCUACCGACCCAAAAAUGCAUAGAGGAGGAGGACUAUAUAAGGAGACCCCCAUGGCCCCUGGAGAAGACAUGAAGAAAUUAUCAUAGAGAUUGAGGGGUGCCCUCAAAGGAAAACCUCUUCUCUAAUUAAUAUUUCUUUUUAGGCUUAGCAACCAAUGUAAAGUAGAAAUAGAUCUUCUAGUUUCUACUAGAUUGAGAGAGAUAGAGUGGAGGUGUAGAUUGGAGGAAGCCCGGCCUGUCGGUGUCUACUCCAAGCUUGUACCUGCGGGAUCAAGUUCUCCUAACCCGAAGCUUGCUCCUAGGAUUCUUCAGUAUUUCGACUUCUAAAUUCUAGUAAGUUCUUGUUUUAUUGUUCUUAUGGUUUAUGAGUUUACUUUAAUCUCUUCACGUAGAGUUUAGAGUAAUCAUUGCUGGCGUAAACGUGGUGUUUAGGCUGGGGUACUCAUAGAUAUUCCCUGACUAGCUGGACCGUGGUAGUAGUGAGGAACGUGACAAUUCCGAGUUACCUUUGCAGACCAUAUCUCGUUAGCAGGAAGGAUAGGGUUUAUAGGUGCGGGUUGAACAUCCUUUGUGGUGUCUAGAUUCCGUUAGCCUCCCCAAUAGAACAGUAGAUCAUCCUUACCAAGGUUAGAAGGAGACUACGGUUGCAGUCUUCUCUAUUUAUCACUCACAUCGAAAGACAUUCUUUGUGCCUAAAGGGUUAGUAGUAAUAGACCGGUUAGUCAGAUGCACUCUUUCUCCUAGUGGUAAAAAAAUAAAUACGAUACUCUGGAUAAUUUCCCGGGUGAAGUGCUCACCGAUAUCCGUGCGCUUGCGGAUCAAUUCCUUAUUGCGUUCCCAAAUAUCAACAAGUAUUUCUGGCGCCGUUGCCGGGGAGAAAGACGGUUACUGAGAUAACUUGAGUCUUACUACUAGCUUGUAUCUAUACUUUUAUCUUUUCUUAUCUUUUAUAUUCUUUAUUUUCUUUACUCUUACCUUAUGGAAAACCAAAAUUCUAAAUCGAUCCAUGAGUCUGCAAUCCCUUCAGUAACUGACCUUUUACCAUGGGAAUCAUCACAGCCUAUCCAAACAUCCCAGUAUAAGUUAAGUUCUAGGUUGAUUGCCAUGAUUCAAAACCUAUCUUUUUCGGGAAAGGAAGACGAAAACCCUUACCUUCAUAUUAGAGAUUUUGAGCAAACAUGUGAUUGUCUUCGCAUUGAAGGCAUUUCUGAUAAAACUUUACGUUGGAAGCUUUUUCCUUUUUCUUUAAGGGGAGAAGCUAGACAAUGGUACAGUCAGAAGGUAAGUCAACAACAAGGUGAAUGGGGAGUUUUACGAGCCAACUUUUGUCUAGAUUUCUAUUCCCUCGACCGUAUAGCCGACCUUAGACUCGAAGUCCUAUCUUUUAAACAAAAAGAUAAUGAAACUUUGGGAAAAUCCUGGAAAUGUUUUUCAGAUCUUUUAGAAUCUGGUCCAAACCUUAAUCUUGAAGACCCUAUUCUUUUAUUUCACUUUUCUUGAGGUCUUCAGAAAAAUCACAAACAAAUGCUACACACAAUGUCUAGAGGUUCUUUCUUUUGCAUCCCUACUGAUGAAGCUAGAGUGAUCCUAUUUAGAAUCCUAGAAGCUGAGAUGGAUAAUACCCUUCAUGAUGAAACCUACGAAGCCAAAGUAGACACUCUGCCAAAUUCUUCAGCUACUUUAGCUAUCCCAAGUUCUAAGCCACAAGAGGAAGAAAUUCCACCACCGGACUUCAUGCUGGAUAUAGAAUCCGAUCUUUUUGCCGAUUUUGGAAACAUUUCAAAUUACCAUUCUAUUGACAAACCCCAAAACGGCCAGUUUAGCAUUUAUUUACCAAGUGAAUAUCAAUUGAGAGAGCUUAUCUCAGUAAUGAGUAGCAAAUGGUUGGAGGAAUCAGAGCUUUCCUCUGAUGUGAUCCGUUUGGACACACCCUCUAUAACUAUACGCUGUGCUUAUAAUUCUGAUCAAUUUAAUGCUCUUUAUAAUCCUGUUGUGGGGAUCAACAUCAUGUCUGAAUCUUUUGCACUUAAACUAUUUAAAAAUCUUGCCUUAACCCCCACAACAAAGGUCAUAAAGGAAUCUUCGGGACGAUUAGUCCCCAGUCUUGAAAUUAUUAAUGUCCUACCUCUUACGGUAGAAGACUGCAUGGUUCAUUUGAACUUCUAUAUCUUUGAUACAUGGGACUUCGACCUGUUGAUAGGACAACCUUUUAGAAGACUCCUUUAUGAAGGUCAUACUGGAAAGCUACACAUUUCUUUUAGAAAAACUUUUAAAUUCCCAAUAACAAUUUCACACUCCUUAAACAAUAAGGCCGAAUCAUAUCUUUUGCCUGAUCCUAUGGAGGAGGUAAAGGCUGCAUCUCUAGAGCUUUUAGAUGAACCAGACUUAGAAGACGAAACUCCUUUCUUCAUAGAAGAAGAAGCCGAACCUUCUUAACCUGAACCCUUAGAUGAGUUUGCAGAAACACCUAGACCCCCCAUAGAGCUUAAAACUUUACCACCCUGUCUUACAUAUGCUUUCCUAAACAAUAAUUCAGAGUUCCCUGUAUUCAUUAGCGACAAACUCACUCAGGAUCAAACUCUGCGAUUAAUGACCAUUCUUGAGAAACAUCACUCAGUUUUCGGCUACUCACUCCAAGAUCUUACAGGAAUCAGUCCUAUGAUUUGUACCCAUCGUAUUCCAACAGAUCCUUCUGUUUCACCUUCUCGAGAACCCCAACGUAGACUUAAUAACACUAUGAGAGAGGUAGUUAAAAAGGAAGUUAUAAAGUUGCUGCAUGCAGGGAUUAUAUAUCCUGUGCCGCAUAGUGAGUGGGUGAGCCCAGUACAAGUUGUGCCUAAAAAGGGAGGCAUGACUGUUAUUAUGAAUGAAAAGAACGAGCUAAUUCCGCAACGCACCGUCACAGGAUGGCGGAUGUGCAUAGACUAUAGAAAACUAAACAAAGCCACGAGAAAGGAUCACUUUCCUUUACCUUUUAUAGAUGAGAUGCUAGAGCGAUUAGCGAACCAUUCGUUCUUCUGUUUCUUAGAUGGAUAUUCAGGGUAUCAUCAAAUCCCAAUCCAUCCCGAUGAUCAAAGCAAAACCACUUUUACAUGCCCAUAUGGAACUUAUGCUUAUCGUAGAAUGUCUUUUGGGUUAUGUAAUGCACCAGCUUCUUUUCAAAGAUGCAUGAUGUCUAUAUUUUCUGAUAUGAUUGAAGAGAUUAUGGAAGUUUUCAUGGAUGAUUUCUCUGUUUAUGGAAAAACUUUUGAUAGUUGUCUUGAAAACUUAGACAAGGUUUUGCGAAGAUGUGAAGAAAAGCACUUAGUCCUUAAUUGGGAAAAAUGUCAUUUUAUGGUUAGGGAAGGAAUAGUGCAGGGACACCUAGUAUCCGAAAGAGGAUUUGAGGUAGACAAAGCUAAAAUUGAAGUGAUUGAACAACUACCUCCACCUAUGAAUAUAAAAGGAAUUCGAGGCUUUCUUGGCCAUGCUGGUUUUUAUCGUAGAUUCAUAAAAGAUUUUUCAUUUAUUGCUAGACCACUUACUCUUUUGCUAGCCAAGGAUGCUCCUUUCGAAUUUGAUGAUGCAUGUCUAACAUCUUUCAAUUUAUUAAAGAAAGCACUCAUCUCUGCACCAAUCAUUCAACCCCCUGAUUGGUCAUUGCCUUUUGAAAUUAUGUGUGAUGCUAGUGAUUAUGUUGUGGGGGCAGUUUUGGGACAAACUAAAGAUAAGAAGCAUCAUGCAAUUGCUUAUGCCAGUAAAACUUUGACAGGAGCUCAACUUAAUUAUGCAACCACUGAAAAAGAGCUUCUGGCUGUUGUCUUUGCCAUUGAUAAAUUUAGAUCUUACUUAGUUGGAGCUAAAAUAAUUGUUUACACUGAUCAUGCUGCACUAAAAUACUUGCUCACUAAAAAAGAUGCUAAACCUCGCCUGAUUAGAUGGAUCUUAUUACUCCAAGAAUUUGACUUAGAAAUAAAAGAUAAAAAGGGAGUAGAAAAUUCUGUUGCUGAUCACUUGUCUAUAAUGUAUUUUAAGAGUCCACAGGAAACCCCCAUCAAUGAUUCACUCCGGGACGACAUGCUCUACGGGAUUAACAGGUCGGACCCCUGGUAUGCAGAUAUUGUUAAUUUUAUGGUUUCAGGGUAUGUACCACCAGGAGCAAACAAGAAGAAGCUUAUUCAAGAAAGUCGUUCACAUAUAUGGGAUGAGCCAUACCUCUUCCGAGUAUGCUCUGAUGACUUACUCAGGAGAUGUGUGACCACUGAGGAAGGAUGGAAGAUCAUCGACAGAUGUCAUUCAUCACCAUAUGGAGGUCACUAUGGAGCAUUCCGCACACAUUCAAAGAUCUGGCAGUGUGGAUUCUACUGGCCUACAAUGUAUGAAGACACGAAGCAAUAUACCAGAAGAUGUGGGCCAUGUCAAAGACACGGAAACAUAAAUACAAGGGAUGCAAUGCCACUCACCAACAAGCUUCAGAUUGAGCUCUUUGAUGUCUGGGGAAUAGACUACAUGGGUCCAUUUCCUCCAUCAAAGAAGUGUGAGUACAUCUUGGUGGCAGUUGACUAUGUCUCCAAGUGGGUAGAGGCAUUACCUUGCAAGCAUGCCGACAAUGUCAGUUCAAAGAGGAUGUUUGAAGAAAUUAUAUUUCCAAGAUUCGGAGUCCCCAGAGUAGUGAUAAGUGAUGGAGGAGCACACUUCAUCGACAAACGCUUCAAGCAAUAUCUAUCAGAACAUGGAAUCCGUCACAACGUCGCUACCCCCUAUCAUCCUCAGACAAGUGGCCAAGCAGAGACUUCCAACAAACAAAUCAAGAAUAUUCUUCAGAAGACAGUAAAUGAAAUGGGAACGGCAUGGAAAGACAAGUUACCCGAUGCACUCUGGGCAUACCGGACAGCAUACAAGACCCCAAUUGGAAUGUCACCAUACCAAUAGGUGUACGGAAAGACUUGCCAUCUACCUAUUGAACUAGAGUUCAAAGCACACUGGGCCAUAAAGAGAUGGAACAUGGACCUAGAUGUUGCUGGAGAUUAUAGAAGAAUGCAACUAUCGGAAUUGGAAGAAUGGCGAGAGAAAGCAUAUCACAAUUCAAAGAUCUACAAAGAAAGAGUCAAAAGGUGGCAUGACAAGAGAAUCAAGAAGAAGGAGUUCACACCCGGAGAUAAGGUAUUACUUUUUAAUUCUAGGGUGAAGCUUUUCGGGCAUGGGAAGCUCUAGAGCAAAUGGGAAGGACCAUUCAAGGUAAUUAAUUCAUCAUCCCACGGAGCUAUCACACUUCAAAAUGAUGAAGGUACGUUAUUCAAGGUAAAUGGUCAACGUCUUAAAUUAUUUUUGGAGCCCAAUAAAGAAUUAGAAGAAAUAGACGUAGUCCAUUUUUACCUUCCCAUGGAAAAUUAGAGCCCGACCUUUUUAAUCUGAUGUUUUUGGGUCAUAUAUAUAUUUUUCUAAAUAAUUUCGCAUCUAGAAACGCGCUCGAGAAAGUGGGCCCACAGAGGGGCCAGAGAGAGGGCGGGUGCCCAGAUCAGGUGGGCGGGCGCCCAGCUCCUGUUCCCCCUCGGUCCCGAUUUUCUCUGUUAUGGAAAAUGCACUUAUGGUAAUCUGAAUAAUCCCUCGGAUGGAAAGUUUCGCACGCACAUCGACGGGAGCAGCCCGAACAACCCAUUGAGGCACUUUUUGACCCCUAUAUAAACCCCCUGACCUCAGCUUUCAAACACCGAGCCACCAAGCCUUCUCUCCUUCAAUUAGAGCUUGAUUAGUUCCUUGCUGCUCCAAUGGCCGAGAAGUACCACGAUGAUUGGGAAGUCGUCCCCUUCAACCUCAACAUGGAGCCUGUGGAAGACCCCAAUGCCCGUGCUCUCGUCCCGGCCAACACAGAGCGACAGCUAGAAGCCAUGCCAUUACGCCAGCGCAGCUCCGCCCAAUCCUAUCAUGCUCAACCAGUUCUCACCGCACCACCACAACCCCUACUUCUCAAGGGAUCAUCAUCCAAGACGAAGACCACUAUCAAGGUGCCAAUCGGCACGAGGAUCCUUCCACCUAGACCCAAUGAGAGGAUCAUUGGAGUCAAGACCAACCGGAGCGGCGAGAUCAGCAGCGUACGCUACACUACGGAGGAAGAAAGGACUUACUUUGAAGGGAUUAGAGCAGCCAAAGUCCGUUUCAUCUCUCCAAAGGCAGCCCUGAAGCACGCUCUCAACGCUUUUGAGACACCUCCCAAGCGUCGCAAGACUAUAAUGGAUAUUGAUGAGGACGUUCGCAGACUAGACAGAAUUAUCAUAGACCUCCAGUCCUCGAUUAAUUCCCUCACUAGGCAGCUCUCUAACCACAAUACCGUUAUAUUAGGCCUUAGGCAGGAUCUUGCUAGUGCCAUCAAGAAGAUUAAGGAGUUAGAGCGCCGCUAAGUUAUCUAGAUUAGACCUUGAGGCAAUGCAUCUUAGUUAUCUAUCUUUAAAUUCGGUUUAGGUUUACUAUUAUCAUCAGUUUGCUAUCAGUUCGCUACUAAUCUUUUGUAAUAAAUGCCUCAAGAUUAAUAAAGAGUAUUAUUAUUAUUAUGUCUUGUGUGUCUCUACUUUAUUUUUGUGCAAGAAAGCAGAAAACAAGUAUGGAGGAGAUCCCUCGACAUCCUAAACACACUCCGACUACACCACUCCACGAGUCAGGUACACACUCUGCAUACUUUACUUUACACAUACACAUAUCUUGGAUUAUGCAGAUUACUGUUUCUGACAUGAUACAUUAAAAAGAUUAAAAUAUUUCUAAUCAUGAUUAAACUCACUCUGUGAUAUUUCCUGAAAACUUGCAAUUAUUAUAAAAUCAUUUUAAAACCCUGUGUUACUUAAGACAGUAUGGAAUGUGAGAUAGUAGAGUAUGAGUUUCUUAUUCUUAUCAUUGUUGCUUGGAGAAUUCAUUUCAAAAUCUUUAAAAUUCUAGCUACCAUCCUCAGUGUUUUAUAUGCCUGAUAAAACUGAAAAUAUUAAUUAUGAUUAUAAAAGCUAUCUCCUCUGUAUUGAGUUUGUUCAAAAUGAGUUAGACCCUUGUUGAGAGAUUUAUCAUGCUCAUAAGAUCAAGACAUUUAUUCAGAAAGAUUCACUCUUCCGAAGUAUUAUUGCAUUAGAGGCAUGGGCUAUGCAAAAAUAAAGAUAUUUCGAGGAAAUAAAAAGGAGCAAGUGCUCGACAACCUCGUAGAAAAAAUGGACAAGUGUCCGGCAGUAGAAUUAGGGAUACCUCGGUAUCCACUUAAAAAAAAGAGAAAAAAGUGAUAGCCCAUGGUCCCUCUAAUAAGCAAUAUGCCAGCAAGAGUUGACAAAGAUUUUAAUUUCCAAAGUCUUUGAUCUAAGAGUAUGACAUUCCUCUCCUCGGAUCUCGUUUUGAUCAGGCAAUAAAUGUAAAGUAAGUAUGCUUAAGAAUUUUUGCAAAUUAAAACAGCCUCAGUGAGAUAUAUAAAAGAUAAUGAGUGAUCUGAGAAGAACCUAUGAGGAUAAAAAGGUAUGCUAACUUUUUUUCAAAAAUAUACAAAAACUCCAAGUGACAGGAUAGAGAAGAAAGGAUCUUUACUCUUAACCAUAAACAUCCCUGACUAUGGUACACAGUGGGUUUUUAACACCCUGCAAAUAUAAAGAAUGCUUGAAAAUGUUUUACCCCAAAUAUUGUUCUUAACCAUCCUUUUCUCGAGGACGAGUAAAAGCCUAAGUAUGGGGGUAUUUGUUGACGGUUCUUAAGUAUCAAUUUUAAUUAUCAAAUAAACAAGAGAAAGGACCAAUAUGCAACCAACACCUAGAAUUAGGGUUUGAUCUGACAGAAUUCCACGAGUUUUGUUGUUUAUCUGUUUCUGCAGGGGGUUAUCAGGAAAUAAGGAAGAAAGGCCCACAUGUCGGGAUUACAUAGAGAUAUCAACGCACCGCACAAUUUUCUACCAUCUAGAAGACUCCAGAAGCCACGGGAAGAAAAUAGAGGCCGAAAGGGGCCAGGCCCAGGGCGCCCGCCCUGGUGACCUGGGCGCCCGCCCCCUGCUGGAUUGCAUUCAGGACUCUCUUCGCACGGGAUGUUCCACCGACCUAUUGGAUCAAGGAAAACAUAGUACCACCUCGCCUACCGACCCAAAAACGCAUAGAGGAGGAGGACUAUAUAAGGAGACCCCCAUGGCCCCUGGAGAAGACAUGAAGAAAUUAUCAUAGAGAUUGAGGGGUGCCCUCGAAGGAAAACCUCUUCUCUAAUUAAUAUUUCUUUUUAGGCUUAGCAACCAAUGUAAAGUAGAAAUAGAUCUUCUAGUUUCUACUAGAUUGAGAGAGAUAGAGUGGAGGUGUAGAUUGGAGGAAGCCCGGCCUGUCGGUGUCUACUCCAAGCUUGUACCUGCGGGAUCAAGUUCUCCUAACCCGAAGCUUGCUCCUAGGAUUCUUCAGUAUUUUGACUUCUAAAUUCUAGUAAGUUCUUGUUUUAUUGUUCUUAUGGUUUAUGAGUUUACUUUAAUCUCUUCACGUAGAGUUUAGAGUAAUCAUUGCUGGCGUAAACGUGGUGUUUAGGCUGGGGUACUCAUAGAUAUUCCCUGACUAGCUGGACCGUGGUAGUAGUGAGGAACGUGACAAUUCCGAGUUACCUUUGCAGACCAUAUCUCGUUAGCAGGAAGGAUAGGGUUUAUAGGUGCGGGUUGAACAUCCUUUGUGGUGUCUAGAUUCCGUUAGCCUCCCCAAUAGAACAGUAGAUCAUCCUUACCAAGGUUAGAAGGAGACUACGGUUGCAAUCUUCUCUAUUUAUCACUCACAUCGAAAGACAUUCUUUGUGCCUAAAGGGUUAGUAGUAAUAGACCGGUUAGUCAGAUGCACUCUUUCUCCUAGUGGUAAAAAAAUAAAUACGAUACUCUGGAUAAUUUCCCGGGUGAAGUGCUCACCGAUAUCCGUGCGCUUGCGGAUCAAUUCCUUAUUGCGUUCCCAAAUAUCAACAUCCACGUGUGUUAGCUUUUUCAUAAUCAUUUUCUUUGAAGAAGUUAAGUUAGCUCACUAGGUUCUAAAUGCAUGCACAAGAACAAUGACACCUAGUGGCACUUGAUAACCGCUUAGCCAAAGAAUUCCCCUCUUUAUAGUACGGCUAUCUAUCCUGAAUGUGAUCACACCCUCUAUGGUGUCUUGAUCACCAAAACUAAAACCCUAAGCAAUACCUUUGCCUUGAACUCCAUAGGGUUUUGUUUUUCUCUUUCUUCUUUUCCAAGUUGAGCACUUGAUCAUCUUGUGGUUAUCAUCAUCAUCACCAUGAUCAUCUCUUGCUCCAUCACUUGGCAUGUACCAACCUCAUUAAUUCUACACACACUUAGUAUAGAGGUUAGUACUAGGGUUUCAUCAAUUAUCCAAAACCAAACUAGAGCUUUCAAUCUCCCCCUUUUUGGUAAUUGAUGACAACCCUUUUACAAAGAUUUUCAAUAAAAUUUUCUUGGAUUCAUGUUGCUUGCCCAAGCAUUUUACCAUGUGCAAAGGUUAUGGACAAGUUUCAUAAACCCAAAUUGGUAGCAAUUCCUCCCCCUACAUAUGUGUUAAGAGUUUGGAUUUGAAAGCUUGCACAUAUGCUUGAAUAGGAAAUAUAGGAGUCAAAAAUGAUGCUAAGGUGUAAAGAAUGGACCUUUGAAGCGUGAUACCAAUCGGAGUUGCCAAUAUACACCAUCCUUAGCACCAUUAGUAACUAGACAUUCACAAGACUAGAAUGCUCCAUGAGAUCAACAUUAUAAACAAGGUUCUAGUACCACUUGUGAAAUAACUAAAAGUCUAGUUACACUACCCAUGCAUGCUAGUUCUUCAUUUCAUCAAUCAAACCUAUAACUAGCAUACACCACACAAGCAAGGUACCGAAGAGAGAGCUUCUAAAGCUAAUGCAAAUGCAAGCAAACAUAUGUGAUGCACAUUCAAAUGCAACAUACAAGUUUAUGAGCUUGCUCCCCCUACUUGUGUGAUUCAAAAUUUUAAUUGAUCCCCUUCUUUUAUCAUGUUACUUCCCUAUCUUUGUAUUUCUUUGUGAUUUCUCUCCCCCUUUAGCAAAUCUUUGGGAAAUUCUAAUUCUCUACCCCUUUGUCAUCAAUGACCACAAAAGGUGAGCUCAAAUUUUAGAUAGGUUAGUGUGAAACCAUGUGAAGUGAGAUCAUUUUCCCAAAUUGGUCCAAUCUAGAUUACUUAUAAGGGUUAUCUUAUAAGCUAUGACCACACAAGCAAUUCUAAUUCUCUCCCCCUUUGUCAUCAAUGACCACACAAGGUGAGCUCAAAUUUAACUCAGUUUGAUCCAAGGACAAGCUUCUUCACACCUCCAAAUAAGGGUUAUCUUGUAGCAUGUUGAGUUAAACACUUAUAGCUCAUAUUCUAGAUCAAACACUAGGAUUGCAAGCCCACAAACAUGUUAUAUGCUACCACUAGAUCAAGUCAAGCAUAGAAGCAAUAGUGGUACCAUACAAGCAUCAAAUUCAUUUGAUUUUCAUGAAUGAGCCUAAGACAUGUAAGGAAUGACUAGAUGCACUAAGCAAGUCCUUAGCACAGGAUGAAUGAUAUGUCAAAUAAUUUUACCUUGCUUUGCUCGAAGGAGAGGCAUGUCAUAUAGUGGGGGUGCAUCAACACAUAUUUGAGAAGUCAAGUAUGUUCAAUUCAUUCCUUAGCUUGCAAAACCUCUUGUCAUCAAGUGGCUUGGUGAAUAUAUCAGUAAGUUGAUCAUCGGUGCCUAUACUCUCAAUGCAAAUGUCACCUUUUUGUUGGUGAUCUCUUAUGAAGUGAUGGCAGACAUCUAUGUGCUUUGUUCUUGAGUGUUGAACUGGAUUAUUAGUGAGCUUCACGGCACAUUCAUUGUCACAUAGCAAUGGCACUUGCUUGAAGUUGAUUCCAAAAUCUUUCAAGGUUUCCUUCAUCCAUAGGAUUUGUGCACAACAACUACCGGCCGCAAUGUACUCCGCUUUGGCGGUUGAUAGUGCAACACUAUUUUGUUUCUUGGAUGACCAUGAGACAAGUGAUCUUCCCAAUAGUUGACAUGUGCCUGAUGUGCUUCUUCUUUCAACUUUGCAUCCCGCAUAGUCCGAGUCAGAAUAUCCAACAAGUUCAAACUUUGCACCUUUGGGAUACCACAAACCAACAUUUUGUGUAUGCUUCAAGUACCUCAAUAUUCUCUUUGUUGCUUUAAAAUGGCUUUCUCUUAGUUAGGCUUGGAAUCUUGCACACAUGCAUACACUAAACAUGACGUUUGUGAGAUAGAGUAAGCUUCCAAUCAUAGACCGAUACAACUUUUGAUCCACCAUAUUUCCGCUUGUAUCACUAUCUAGGCUUUCAUUUGUUCCCAUUGGUGUGCUAAUUGAUUUUGCAUCAUCCAUACCAAACUUCUUGAGCAUGUCAUUUAUGUACUUUCCUUGACUUACAAAUGUGCCAUUCUUCAGUUGCUUGAUUUGAAAACCAAGGAAGUAACUAAGCUCUCCAAUCAUUGACAUCUCAAACUCAUUAGCCAUCCUGUUGCCAAACUCCUCACAAAAUUCUUGAUUGGUUGAUCCAAAUAUGAUAUCAUCAACAUAGAUUUGCAACACAAACAAGUCCUUUCCAAUUUUCUUGAUGAAGAGAGUGGUGUCAACCUUGCCCAUCUUGAAACCUUUAGAGAGAAAGAAAUCUCAUAAUCUCUCAUAUCAUGCUCUAGGUACUUGCUUCAAACCAUACAAUGCCUUUCUUAGCUUGUAAACAUGGUUGGGUUUCAUGUCAUCUUCAAAACCGGGAGGUUGCUCAACAUAGACUUCUUCAUUGAUAUAGCCAUUGAGAAAUGCACUCUUCACAUCCAUUUGAUAUAACUUGAUGUUAUGUGCACAAGCAUAGGCCAACAAGAUCUUAAUUGCUUCCAAUCUUGCAACUGCGGCAUAUGUUUCACCAAAGUCAAGACCUUCAAAUUGAGUAUAACCUUGUGCUACCAAUCUUGCUUUGUUCCUUACAGCUAUCCCAUCUUGAUCUUGUUUGUUGCGAAAGACCCAUCUAGUACCAAUGACAUUAUGAUCACUAGGCCUCUCAACCAAUUCCCAUACUUGAUUUCUUUUGAAGUUGUUAGGGGAUGUUUGGUUGCUAGCCAUAGUUUACCACAACUAACUUUAGGCCAGUGUGGCAAGCCACAAAAAGUGUGGCUAGCAAAUUGGUUGCCACACUUUGCCAUGCCUAAAGGAAUAUUGCCACACUUUUUAACUCUAUGACAUGUGGAGCCCAAAAGAAUCAUGCCUAAACUUAGUUGUCAACCAAACACUUGCCAACUUGGUCAAACUUGCCUAAGAUAAAGUAUGGCAAAUUGUGGCUAGCAACCAAACAGCCCCAGCUCUUCAUGCAUAGCAUUAACCCAAUAAACAUCUCUCAAGGCUUCAUCUAUCUUCUUUGGCUCAAUGUGAGACACAAAGGAGAAAUGCUCACAAAAUGAUGCUAGUCUUGAUCUAGUUUGCACUCCUCUUUGAAUGUCACCAAUGAUAUGAUCUAAUGGAUGAUCUCUUACAAUAUUUGUUGGUUGGAGUAUUUGCACUUGAUUGCUUGCACUUGGUUGAUCAUGAGAUGGUGUACUAGCUUGUUGAUCUUGUACUUGUGUACCACUUGUACUAGCUUGAUUUUGAUCAUGAGAACCACUAGCUUGCACAUUAGAGGUAGGAAGCACUUGAUCUUUGUCAUCUUCAACAUCAAUCACCUCUCUAGGCCUUAAAUCACCAAUGUCCAUAUUCUUCAUUGCAUCAGCCAAUUGAGUGCCUCUCACAUCAUCUAGAUUCUCAUCUUCCUCUUGAGAGCCAUUGGUUUCAUCAAACUCAACAUCAUGCACUUCCUCAAGAGUACCACUAGCCAAAUAAAAAACUCUAUAAGCUUUGCUAGUAGUGGAGUAACCGAGCAAGAAACCUUCAUCACAUUUAUUUUCAAAUUUACUCAAUCUAGUGCCUUUCUUCAAUAUGUAGCAUUUGCAACCAAAAACCCGAAAAUAUGCAAUAUUGGGCUUUCUUCCAUUCAAGAGCUCAUAUGGAGUCUUCUCCAUCAUUGGGUGACAAUAGAGUCGGUUGCUAUAGUAGCAAGCCGUGUUGAUUGCUUCGGCCCAAAAAGAAUGACUUACAUUGUACUCACUCAACAUUGAUCUUGCCAUGUCAAUCAAGGUUAAAUUCUUCCUCUCAACAAGACCAUUUGAUUGUGGAGUAUACUUGGCCGAGAAUUGAUGCCUAAUACCAAAUUCAUCACAAAGCUCAUCAACUCUUGUGUUCUUGAAUUCACUUCCAUUGUCACUUCUCACUUUCUUGAUGGUCGUUUCAAACUCAUUGUGUAUUCUCUUGACAAAUGAUUUGAAGGUUGCAACAGCAUCACUCUUGUCACUAAGAAAGAAUGUCCAUGUGUAUCUUGUGAAAUCAUCCACUAUCACAAAUCCAUAUUUAUUUUCACCAAUGCUUGUGUAUGUGGUUGGUCCAAAUAAGUGCAACAACUCAAAUGCCUUGCAUGUACUCAUGAUUGUCUUCUUUGGAUGAGUGUUGCCAACUUGUUUUCUGGCUUGACAUGCACUAUAAAGCUUGUCUUUCUCAAAUGUAACAUCUUUUAAGCCUCUAACAAGAUCAUGCUUGACUAACUUGUUAAAUUGUUUCAUUCCAACAUGACCAAGCCUUCUAUGCCAUAACCAACCCAUGCUAGAUUUAGUGAGCAAGCAUGUUGAUAACUGAGCUUCACUAGCAUUGAAAUCAACUAAGUAUAGAUUCUCAUAUAUAAAGCCUUUGAAUAUCAAUUUAGAGCCAUCUACACUUAUGAUCUCUACAUCAUCAACUCCAAAUAUGAAUUUGAAACCAAGAUCACAAAGUUGAGCUACGGAUAGUAAGUUGAAGUUCAAGCUCUCUACUAGUAGCACAUUGGAAAUGCUCAAGUCAUUGGAUAUAGCAAUUUUAUCGAGCCCUUUGACCUUGCCUUUGCCAUUGUCACCAAAUGUGAUACUAUCAACACCAUUGUCAUCAUUUGGAUUGAUUGAAUUGAACAUUCUUGAAUCACCGGUCAUGUGUUGUGUGCACCCACUAUCAAGCACCCAAUGCCUUCCUCCGGCUUUAUAGUUUACCUACAAAACAAAUCAAUGUUUCUUAGGUACCCAUACUUGUUUGGGUCCUUGGAGGUUAGUGACUAAGCUCUUUGGUACCCAAAUGGCCUUCUUCUUUGGACCCACAAUUGGUGUACCAACAAACUUAGCAUGCACACCCUUCUCACCCUUGGUAAGCACAUAACAAGAAUCCAAAAGGAAUGUAAUGUACAUUAGCAAUUUUCUUGUUCUUAUUCAUUUUAUUGAAAUUAAGCUCUAGGUGCCCAACUUGCUUGCAUCUAUUGCAAUACUGACCAUUGCUCUUCACAAAACUUGUUUUGUGAGUUGCAAAGGCCUUCUUGCCUUUAUUGGGAGUAUAGCCUAAUCCCUCUUUGUUGAGAAAAAACCUUUGGCUACCCAAGCACUUUAGCAAGCGGGCUUCACCUCCAUAGGCCUUGCCUAGGGCAUGAGUGAGCUCAUCCACCUUAGUUUUGAGAGUCUCAUUCUCAACCUUUAGUGAAGCAUCACAAGUGACACUAACACUAGAAGUGGAGGUAGAGUUGGUGGUGGUGGAUGAAGACCUACAAGAAGAGUUAGUGGCAACAACAAUAGGUGGGCUGGGUGAUUCCUUAAUUAAGUCACAUGUUGUGCCCACAUCAUAUGAUACAACAACAUUUUCCUUAUUCUCUUCUAAUAACAAGGAGUGAGCUUUUUCAAGCUUGGUGUGAGCUUUGCCAAGCUUCUCAUGGGCAUCCACUAGCCUCUCAUGAGUAGCAUUGAGCUCAUCAAAGGAUUGCUCAAGAGCUUUUAACUUCUUGGUCAAUUCUUUGCACUUUUUGUUUUUAGAUUGAAUAAGUAAAUCGGCUUGUUCUAGCAAGUCCAUGAGUUGUUCAUUAGUGAAUUCAUCAUCAUUAUCACUAUCACUAUCAUGUUCAUUUUCACUUUCACUUUCACUCUCAUCAUAUUGUACCUUGUGGCCCUUGGCCGUGAAGCAUGAAGGAGUGUCGAAGAGUGAUGGCUUGUUGAUAGCAAUGCUUGCAAGCGCCUUCUUCUUGGAUGCCUUGUCAUCAUCACUAGAAUCAUCAUCCAAAGAAGCAUCACUAUCCCAUGUCACAACAUAGGAUCCACCCUUCUUCUUCUUCUUGAAGACCAUCUUUUUCUCUUUCUUUUCUUUCUUCUUCUUGUUCUUCAUGUCAUCCUCAUCAUUGUCACUAUUGUAAGAACAAUCCGCCACAAUACGAUCGGGGCUCUUGCACUUGUAGCAUAGCCUCACAUGUGUUGACACUUACUAACACCACUUGGAUACUAGGUUGUCAUCCCCAGCAUGGUGCCAGAGUGUACAAAUGUAUUUAUGAAUGUAAAGGCUCUCUAGAAAAUAAUCUAUUCUAUCCGCAAGCACACAGAUAAAAUACCUCAUUGUAGCAUUUCACCAGGAAAGUAUUCUAGGUAUCGUUAUUUAUAAUUUUGCUUAAGAGAACAGUAGAAAUGAAGAUAAGGAUAAAAUCUAUCCAGGCAUAGACUAGAGAUAAACUUGCAAGAACAUGAUUACUAAUGAGGAACUCAUCACACAGUCACUUACUUUGGCAGGGGGUAAGCCAUAAUAAUAAUGAUAAUGAAAUAUAAGCUCAUGGGUAAAUAGCACAGCGAUUAGAAAAUAGACUACUCCUCAUAUAUGUAAGGUGACGUCGGAUUAGCUAGAGAAUGGAUUCUAAGUUAUCUACUAUCUACUAAGUCACAAUCUACUCUAGUUAUCUACAAGAUCAUAUAUAGCAUAAAAGACUCUUCAUUCAUGUAUAAGGAACAUUGCUAAAGUAAAUCAGAACAUCGCAAGACUUACUCCGCAAUACAAAUUCUGUCUGUCCUAUCAACGGAGGGUGGACUAUAUAAGAAUCAACAAAGCUGUCACUAUCGCGAACUACCACACGACCCGGCCAAUAGGAUACAUUUGCACGUAAAUAACAUCUAAGCACCACGUCAACGAUGUGAUCUACCACUUAACUCCCGCGCGUCAAGAGCUAAGCGCUUUGCAAACUUAUACAUAAACUCAUUAUCAAUUAUAACUAUAUCAAAUAUAGAACUAGAACAAACUAGGAACAUAAUAAAUAGAGACAUGAUGCAAUUAGAAUAAAGUAGUAGAGAAAGAUAUGAAAUAAUACCAAUCUUUAUUGAUGAAGAUCCGAAACCAGAGCGCUAGGCUCUACUUCUCUAAUUCUAUCUAAUAAAUCCUAUAGAACUUGAAGGAUUAGGGAGUAGCUAAUUCUAAUUCUCUGUGGGAGAGAAGUUCUAAAACCCUAACUUUGAUGGCUUCCUCUGAUAAAGAUUUCUCCUCUCUCCCCCUAGGGUGGAGAGGCCUUGCUUAUAUAGUCCCCUCAAGUGAAUUUGGGCCGUCGGAUCAAACCGACAUUGAUCGCACGAUUUUCCUUGAUCCUUUAGGUCGGUGGAGCAUAAUCCGCGAGGUUGGUUGUGAUUGGCCCCGAGGCCAGGGUGGGCGCCCAAGGGGGGAGGGCGGGCGCCCUGCCCCCAAGCCCGUCCGGUCUCCCGUUCGUUCCCGUGGCUUCUGGACUCUUCUAGAUUAAGGAAAAUUGCGCGGCACGUAAUUAUCUCAUUGUAAACCUGACAUGUGGGCCUUCUCUCCAUAUUUUCUGAUAACCCCCUAUAGAAAUAGACAAACACCAAAGCUCGUGGAAUUCUAUCAGAUAAAACCCAAAUUCUAGAUGUUUGGUGCAUAUUGAUCCUUUUCCAUGUUUAGUUGAUGAUUAAAUUUUGUACUUAAGGACCGUCAACAAACUCCCCCAAGCUUACCCUUUGCUCGUCCCUGAGCAAACAGCUAAACUCAGAUGGAUCAGGAGUUGCUUCGCUGUUUUCUUUCCUGACAGGCACACAUGCUUUCACAUAAAAAAUUAUUCUAGAUUAGAGUGAAGUAUCAUGGAGCUUAGUACCUGCACUUAAGUCUUAAGUAAUUGAAAGACAAAAUAAUUAAGUCAAGCACUAUUCCUCCUGUCAAUACUUCACCUUUGUUCGGGAGUUUUGCAUAAGUUUUCAAAAAUAAAACUCAGAGUUCCCAGCUAUGAUUCUCUCAAGUGUCUCUAUAUGUGGUUUUUGUGGAUCCUUACCAAAAAUGUCACUUACCUAUAGCUAAUGGAAUAUUUAAGAGGAGCUCAUAGGAGUGAAAAACAGCUCAUACAUAUGUUGUCUAAUCGAGCCAUGGAUCCAAAGGAACUCAACAUAUAAUUAAAUCAAGAUGUGCAUAUGUGUGAUGAUAAAGCUUACUUCUCAUUGCUCCUCAUAUUGCUAUCUCUCUUCCUCUUGAUCUUUGCUUUGGGAGAACAUGGGCUAUCUUUUUUUCUUCUUUGCUUCUUUUUUUUAGGUGGGUAGUAAAUACCCCUAAUUCUACUGUCGGACAUUUGUCCAUUUUUCCCGCUCAGGUGGGCAUCUUUGUGCCCCUAAUUCUACUCCGGACACUUGUCCAUUUUUACCUCUCGUCUCACUCUUUUUCUUUCUUUUUCGAGGUUCCGGGCACUUGCCCCUUUUUAUUUCCUCGCAUAUUUUUGCAUAACCCAUGCCUCUUCUGCAUUGAAUCUUUUUUGGAGAGAGAGAAUAACAACACUUGGGACAGUGAGUGAUAAUAUUUUUAGAAAUUUUAAUAAAUGGUGGUCCAUGGUGUAGUAGAUGUGUGCAAGUGAAUAUCUUAAUUUAACCACAUGAAAAGCUCCUAAGGGUCUACACAGCUCGAUCAAACUCAAUGUGAAUAUAGUAAAAGAUGUUAUGGCAAGUAUGGUUGUGGUAGGAAUUUUGUCAUGCUAGGAACUCAUCAUGUGAUUUGCAAGUUUUCAAAAUAAAUCUCUAGAACUUAGUGUUGUAAGAACAAGAUAAACAGUAGCUCAAACUUUAUAUCAUGUCCUCUUCUUACCUAGACUUUAGUUUUAGGUUCGUGCUUCCCAUAGAUAGUAAAUUUUAGUUUUAGUAAUUCCUGGAAGAACUCUAAUAUAAAAGCUAGGUACUUGAAAGUAAGCAAACAGAACAACUGUUCAUCAUUUCCAUCAAGCAUCUUUUUGGUCUUUUAUUUUUUCCUAGAGAUUAACACUUAGCAGGGAAAAUAAAGCACACUUAUCUACACACUCUUUUUAUUCUGUUUUCAUGUUUAUAAAAUGCAGUAAAUUAAAGCAAGA
rnacentral:lncRNA from 1 species